rnacentral:rRNA from 1 species
CCUACGGGUUGCAGCAGUGAGGAAUAUUGGACAAUGGGUGGAAGCCUGAUCCAGCCAUCCCGCGUGCAGGAAGACGGCCCUAUGGGUUGUAAACUGCUUUUAUCUGGGGAUAAACCUACUUACGUGAAGUAGCUGAAGGUACCAGAAGAAUAAGCACCGGCUAACUCCGUGCCAGCAGCCGCGGUAAUACGGAGGGUGCAAGCGUUAUCCGGAUUUAUUGGGCUUAAAGGGUCCGUAGGCGGACUAGUAAGUCAGUGGUGAAAUCCGACAGCUUAACUGUCGAACUGCCAUUGAUACUGCUAGUCUUGAGUAAGGUUGAAGUGGCUGGAAUAAGUAGUGUAGCGGUGAAAUGCAUAGAUAUUACUUAGAACACCAAUUGCGAAGGCAGGUCACUAAGUCUUAACUGACGCUGAUGGACGAAAGCGUGGGGAGCGGACAGGAUUAGAUACCCUAGUAGUC